rnacentral:rRNA from 1 species
CGCUGGCGGCGUGCUUAAUACAUGCAAGUCAACUUGACUUUAGAUAGCAAUAUCGAAAAGUAGGGUGGCGCACGGGUGCGUAACGCGUAGGUAAUCUGCCCUGAGGUCUGACAUAACCCGUCGAAAGGCGGGCUAACAUCAGGUGAUAUAUAAUCACGACAUCGUGGAAAUAUCAAAUCUUCGGAGCCUUGGGAUGAGCCUGCGUCUGACUAGGUAGUUGGCGGAGUAAUAGCCCACCAAGCCUACGAUCAGUAGCUGGUCUGAGAGGAUGAUCAGCCACACUGGAACUGAGACACGGUCCAGACUCCUACGGGAGGCAGCAGUAAGGAAUAUUGCUCAAUGGGGGAAACCCUGAAGCAGCAACGCCGCGUGAAGGAUGAAAUACUUUGUAUGUAAACUUCUGUAAGAUGGGAAAAAUAUUCUCCUCGGGAGAAUUGAUUGUACCAUCAGAGUAAGCCCCGGCUAACUACGUG